rnacentral:rRNA from 1 species
GACGAACGCUGGCGGCGUGCCUAAUACAUGCAAGUCGAACGCUUCUUUCCUCCCGAGUGCUUGCACUCAAUUGGAAAGAGGAGUGGCGGACGGGUGAGUAACACGUGGGUAACCUACCCAUCAGAGGGGGAUAACACUUGGAAACAGGUGCUAAUACCGCAUAACAGUUUAUGCCGCAUGGCAUAAGAGUGAAAGGCGCUUUCGGGUGUCGCUGAUGGAUGGACCCGCGGUGCAUUAGCUAGUUGGUGAGGUAACGGCUCACCAAGGCCACGAUGCAUAGCCGACCUGAGAGGGUGAUCGGCCACACUGGGACUGAGACACGGCCCAGAAUCCUACGGGAGGCAGCAGUAGGGAAUCUUCGGCAAUGGACGAAAGUCUGACCGAGCAACGCCGCGUGAGUGAAGAAGGUUUUCGGAUCGUAAAACUCUGUUGUUAGAGAAGAACAAGGACGUUAGUAACUGAACGUCCCCUGACGGUAUCUAACCAGAAAGCCACGGCUAACUACGUG